GACGGAGGAUGCAAGCGUUAUCCGGAAUGAUUGGGUGUAAAGGGUUCGUAGGCGGUGUGGCAAGUCGGGAGUGAAAUCUCUGGGCUCAACUCAGAGACUGCUUCCGAAACUGCUGUGCUGGAGUGUGGGAGAGGCGCGUGGAAUUGCAGGUGUAGCGGUGAAAUGCGUAGAUAUCUGCAGGAACACCCGUGGCGAAAGCGGCGCGCUGGACCACUACUGACGCUGAGGAACGAAAGCUAGGGGAGCAAACAGG
rnacentral:rRNA from 1 species